CUACGGGGUGCAGCAGUGGGGAAUCUUGGACAAUGGGCGCAAGCCUGAUCCAGCCAUGCCGCGUGAGUGAAGAAGGCCUUAGGGUCGUAAAGCUCUUUCGCCAGAGAUGAUAAUGACAGUAUCUGGUAAAGAAACCCCGGCUAACUCCGUGCCAGCAGCCGCGGUAAUACGGAGGGGGUUAGCGUUGUUCGGAAUUACUGGGCGUAAAGCGCGCGUAGGCGGAUUAGUCAGUCAGAGGUGAAAGCCCAGGGCUCAACCCUGGAACUGCCUUUGAUACUGCUAGUCUUGAGUUCGAGAGAGGUGAGUGGAAUUCCGAGUGUAGAGGUGAAAUUCGUAGAUAUUCGGAGGAACACCAGUGGCGAAGGCGGCUCACUGGAUCGAUACUGACGCUGAGGUGCGAAAGUGUGGGGAGCAAACAGGAUUAGAUACCCCGGUAGUC
rnacentral:rRNA from 1 species